rnacentral:lncRNA from 1 species
GCAGGCCUUUCUUUUUCUGUACACAUGGAUAAAUGUAGAUGAGAUCAGAAUUAGCAUAAAGUUUACAUUGUCAUGAUUGUCCAAUAAGCUAUGACUUCAUAUUUUGAAUAGGAAGCUUUGGUAUACAUUGCAAUAUCUCAUUACAUUGCUCCUUAAACACAGGUAGUAGGUGUUAAUUUGUUGUUACAUAUAUUGUUUGCAUUUACAUAUUCCACUUUUAGGACUAAUGUUCAGGAACUAUAGUAUAGACUUCUUAAUGGAUAAUAUUUAUACCAAAGAUGUUCAUAAACAUGCAAUGAAACCUUGACAGUGAAACUUGAAAAUAAAAAAAAAAAACUUUAGCUAAAACAUUCUUAGGUGACAAUUUAGGAAAAGUAAAG